AUAUUGGACAAUGGGGGGAACCCUGAUCCAGCCAUGCCGCGUGUGUGAAGAAGGCCUUAUGGUUGUAAAGCACUUUAAGCGAGGAGGAGGCUCUUUUGGUUAAUACCCAAGAUGAGUUGACGUUACUCGCAGAAUAAGCACCGGCUAACUCUGUGCCAGCAGCCGCGGUAAUACAGAGUGUGCGAACGUUAAGCGGAUUUACUGGGCGUAAAGCGUGCGUAGGCGGCUUUUUAAGUCGGAUGUGAAAUCCCCGAGCUUAACUUGGGAAUUGCAUUCGAUACUGGGGAGCUAGAGUAUGGGAGAGGAUGGUAGAAUUCCAGGUGUAGCGGUGAAAUGCGUAGAGAUCUGGAGGACUACCGAUGGCGAAGGCAGCCAUCUGGCCUAAUACUGACGCUGAGGUACGAAAGCAUGGGGAGCAAAC
rnacentral:rRNA from 1 species